CAGUCGCCGCGGUAAUACGAAGGGUGCAAGCGUUAAUCGGAAUUACUGGGCGUAAAGCGUGCGCAGGCGGUUGUGUAAGACAGGUGUGAAAUCCCCGGGCUUAACCUGGGAACUGCGCUUGUGACUGCACAGCUAGAGUAUGGCAGAGGGGGGUGGAAUUCCACGUGUAGCAGUGAAAUGCGUAGAGAUGUGGAGGAACACCGAUGGCGAAGGCAGCCCCCUGGGCCAAUACUGACGCUCAUGCACGAAAGCGUGGGGAGCAAACAGGAUUAGAUACCCCGGUAGUCCCUGUCUCUUAUAA
rnacentral:rRNA from 1 species